AACGUAGGUGGCAAGCGUUAUCCGGACUCACUGGGCGUAAAGCGCGCGUAGGCGGGGGGUUAAGUGAGAGGUGAAAGGCUGGGGCUCAACCUCAUGCAGUGCCUCUCAUACUGGCCUUCUUGAGGGCGGUAGGGAGAAGUGGAAUGGCUGGUGUAGCGGUGAAAUGCGUAGAUAUCUGGAGGAACACCGGUGGCGAAGGCGGCAUCCUGGACCGGCAUUGACGCUGAGGCGCGAAAGCCAGGGGAGCAAACGGG
rnacentral:rRNA from 1 species